rnacentral:rRNA from 1 species
CCUACGGGAGGCAGCAGUGGGGAAUUUUGGACAAUGGACGCAAGUCUGAUCCAGCCAUUCCGCGUGCAGGACGAAGGCCUUCGGGUUGUAAACUGCUUUUGUACGGAACGAAAAAAGCUCUUAUUAAUACUAGGAGUCCAUGACGGUACCGUAAGAAUAAGCACCGGCUAACUACGUGCCAGCAGCCGCGGUAAUACGUAGGGUGCAAGCGUUAAUCGGAAUUACUGGGCGUAAAGCGUGCGCAGGCGGUUAUAUAAGACAGAUGUGAAAUCCCCGAGCUUAACUUGGGAACUGCAUUUGUGACUGUAUAGCUAGAGUACGGCAGAGGGGGAUGGAAUUCCGCGUGUAGCAGUGAAAUGCGUAGAUAUGCGGAGGAACACCGAUGGCGAAGGCAAUCCCCUGGGCCUGUACUGACGCUCAUGCACGAAAGCGUGGGGAGCAAACAGGAUUAGAUACCCUGGUAGUCCACGCCCUAAACGAUGUCAACUGGUUGUUGGGUCUUCACUGACUCAGUAACGAAGCUAACGCGUGAAGUUGACCGCCUGGGGAGUACGGCCGCAAGGUUGAAACUCGAAAGGAUUGACGG